rnacentral:rRNA from 1 species
AUCUAUGGCCAUACCACCCUGAAUGUGCCUGGUCUUGUCUGAUCUUGGAAGCUAAGCACUCGGGCCUGGUUAGUACUUGGAUGGGGAGACACUGCUUUGGAACAAAUAGGCAAGUAUGCAAA